CGGGAGACAAAUUAGCGAUGAGUCGCAAUUUCGAUUUUUCUGAGAUGCCAGGUGAAUGAACCAAACAUCUGUCUCUCAAUAGCAUUUUUUUUUUUUUUUUUUUUUUUUUUUUUUUUGCUUUGAUUUUACUUUCCUUUCGUUUUUUUUGUUGAGUUUAUUGUUUAAUCUCUAACAAUAUCAGGUAGAACUUCCUACUGUCCCCCAAAAAUAAUUUCACAUUCUUAUCCAUUGAAGCGAUUCCUAUGUCAUCCUGUGCAGGAUUGUUCUCUGCGAGACGACGACUAUGAUGACCUAACUUGUAACUCCAGAUACAGACAGAGUGCUUUGGCUGGAGUGCAAUGAAGUAGCCAGCGGUAAGCAUUGUCAGGAUUUGUCUGUUGCUUGAAAUGCGUUUCAGGCAGGCUUUUGAAACGGCGAAUGGGAUUUUGCUGAAUUACGCAAAUCAACUUGUGCCUCCACAAGCUUGGAACCUUCUCCUUCAAGCUUUCCGUGAAGAGCUCCACACAAAAUCAGCAAAAUGUUUCAGAGAUAAAUAGGCAGAUGUUAUCAAAAGCUUUGUAUAAUACUAUUAGUAUGUAUCAAAGAGAACAUUUAAAUUCACCCUUGUGUUAUAAAAGAUUUUACUUGUAAGUCUGUAAACUUACUAAAAUUGUUUUAAGUAGCCAAUUGCAACCCAACUUUAUUUCAAAUAAAUCAUCAAUUUUGGAAGUAUA
rnacentral:lncRNA from 1 species